rnacentral:rRNA from 1 species
GGUUUGUCAUGCCAAUGGCACUGCCCGGUAGCUAAAUGCGGAAGAGAUAAGUGCUGAAAGCAUCUAAGCACGAAACUUGCCCCGAGAUGAGUUCUCCCUGAGACUUUAAGUCUCCUGAAGGAACGUUAAAGACGAUGACGUUGAUAGGCCGGGUGUGUAAGCGCAGCGAUGCGUUGAGCUAACCGGUACUAAUGAACCGUGAGGCUUAACCUUACAACGCCGAAG